UACAGAGGUGGCAAGCGUUGUUCGGAAUUACUGGGCGUAAAGGGCGCGUAGGUGGCCUUGUUAGUCAGACGUGAAAUCCCCAAGCUUAACUUGGGAACUGCGUCUGAUACUGCAAGGCUUGAGUUCGGGAGAGGGAUGUGGAAUUCCAGGUGUAGCGGUGAAAUGCGUAGUUAUCUGGAGGAACACCGGUGGCGAAGGCGGCAUCCUGGACCGAAACUGACACUGAGGCGCGAAAGCUAGGGGAGCAAACGGG
rnacentral:rRNA from 1 species